rnacentral:lncRNA from 1 species
UUUUACCAAUUCCAAAUAUGGAGGCCGUGGAGCAACCAAGACCAAGAGCCUCAAGGGAACUUGCAGAGUGUGGUGCCAUUUGUUCCUCGCACAAGGAUUGCGUUUCCCAUUGUAAUUACUGUUAUCCAGGAACAGCUGGUAGUACCAUGGGCAGAUGUACGAUGUACUCCUCGUCCGUAAUGAAUUUGAAACGUAAUAUUGGACAAAAUUGAAGAGUACACGUAAAUUUGAAAACCCGUCCAAUACUAUACAAUCUACUUUAUCAAAUAAGACAAAAUGCUUGAAAUCGUCAUUGGCUACAUGAAGUUUGUAUUGUUUUUUGUUCUGAAAACAAAUAUUGAAUGGGAAUUUCAAUAUGCUAUUAGUAAAUUCUGCAUUGGGUGAGGAUUUGAUCUUUCGUGAGGAUUCAAUGGAAUUUGGUGAUUGAAUUUAUUAAAAAUCUAAAUUAAACGAAUCUUCAAAAAAAUUCUGUAACGAAAAUGAAAACUUAUUUUACGGCUAGAUUUAUUCUCUCAUAUAUAGCACCCACACUCGAGUCAGAGCAACAUAGGAGCAUACGAAAGCCUUCGAUUGGUUCAAGUCUCGUUGUCACCCAUUUAUUAAAAUUGUCAUGGUAGGCAUUCUUUUUAGUGUUUGUCUUCUUAAUUACUUAGACAGCAUUAUUGAUAUGGAAUUCAAAUGGUUUUGAAAGAUGAUAGAAGCCUGCAAUAUUAGAACAAAAAUCUUAUGAACUUACAGCAUGUGAUAAUGUUGUUGAGCACCUUAUAUCAGGAUUUUGGUUUUGUUAUACCAAGCUAGGAAGCAAAAUGAGCAAUCCAAACCAAACAACUGGUCAAUAUUUAAGAUCCCAAAAAGCAAAAAUAUGCAAUGAUUUACAUACCAUCUUUCAAAAUUUAGUAGCAACUACACAUGCUUUCAGCUGAACUAUAGAUGAGUUGCUUCUUCAUAUACAAAUCCGGGCUACUCUCUUCUUACAUGAUGUCCUGAGAGGUCCCUAUGGAAAAAACUUUAAAAUGUCUUGUGAACGAAGCUGUACUAUAAGUUGCUACUUGCUUCAAUACAAUUUUUGAUUUUUAUGUUAGGAAUCCCACGUCGUUUUGCAUCCGCAAGUGCAGUUCUCAACUUCUUCGUUUAGUUUCUGCAAAAGCAUGAAAACAAUGUCCAGAGAAAGGAAAAAGAAGGUGGGGAGGCAGGGUGUUUUUUAUGUAAGAGUCAUAAGAAGUUACUCCUACUCAUGAUUAUUUGACAGUCUAUUUUAUGCACAAUGCCUUUUGGUUUAGAUUUAAGUCAUGCCCUUGAUGUUGUCGACAGGAAUUCAAAAAGGUAAUACUAAAACUAAUUUCCGAACAUGUAUUAAGGAAUAGAUGUUAUAUCUGGAGUUUAGAAGAGUUUAAGGUAUGUUAUAUAAAUAUUCGGGUAUUUUAAAUUUUAUAUCCAAAAAUUGUGAGAGAAACAUCAUAAGACUGAAGAAUAAUUUGCAAAAUAUGCUCAAGCUGAACCUACAACAUAGUGAAACAUGUUUGGACAUUAAAGAAAAAUAUAGUAAAGAGUAAGAAUUCCUGGAAUAAUGAGGUUUCAUCAUUGCUGGAGAAUUGUUGUGGAGUGGGAGUUUGAAAAGAAUUAUGCUAU